GACGAACGCUGGCGGCGCGCCUAACACAUGCAAGUCGAGCGAUGAAAUUUUAACCGAUCUCUUCGGAGAGAAGAUAAAAUGGAUUAGCGGCGAACGGGUGAGUAACACGUGAGAAACCUGCCUUUCACAAGGGGAUAGCCUCGGGAAACCGGGAUUAAUACCCUAUGACACAUUUCCUUCGCAUGGAAGAAAUGUUAAAACUCCGGUGGUGAAAGAUGGUCUCGCGCCUGAUUAGCUAGUUGGUGGGGUAACGGCCCACCAAGGCCAUGAUCAGUAACCGGCCUGAGAGGGUGAACGGUCACAUUGGAACUGAGACACGGUCCAAACUCCUACGGGAGGCAGCAGUGGGGAAUAUUGCACAAUGGAGGAAACUCUGAUGCAGCGACGCCGCGUGAGCGAUGAAGGCUUUCGAGUCGUAAAGCUCUGUCCUAUGGGAAGAUAAUGACGGUACCAUAGGAGGAAGCCCCGGCUAACUACGUG
rnacentral:rRNA from 1 species